rnacentral:rRNA from 1 species
GACGAGUGGCGGACGGGUGAGUAAUGUCUGGGAAACUGCCUGAUGGAGGGGGAUAACUACUGGAAACGGUAGCUAAUACCGCAUAAYGUCGCAAGACCAAAGAGGGGGACCUUCGGGCCUCUUGCCAUCGGAUGUGCCCAGAUGGGAUUAGCUAGUAGGUGGGGUAACGGCUCACCUAGGCGACGAUCCCUAGCUGGUCUGAGAGGAUGACCAGCCACACUGGAACUGAGACACGGUCCAGACUCCUACGGGAGGCAGCAGUGGGGAAUAUUGCACAAUGGGCGMAAGCCUGAUGCAGCCAUGCCGCGUGUAUGAAGAAGGCCUUCGGGUUGUAAAGUACUUUCAGCGGGGAGGAAGGGAGUAAAGUUAAUACCUUUGCUCAUUGACGUUACCCGCAGAAGAAGCACCGGCUAACUCCGUGCCAGCAGCCGCGGUAAUACGGAGGGUGCAAGCGUUAAUCGGAAUUACUGGGCGUAAAGCGCACGCAGGCGGUUUGUUAAGUCAGAUGUGAAAUCCCCGGGCUCAACCUGGGAACUGCAUCUGAUACUGGCAAGCUUGAGUCUCGUAGAGGGGGGUAGAAUUCCAGGUGUAGCGGUGAAAUGCGUAGAGAUCUGGAGGAAUACCGGUGGCGAAGSGGCCCCCUGGACGAAGACUGACGCU